UGUAGCGCGGUGGUCCCACCUGACCCCAUGCCGAACUCAGAAGUGAAACGCCGUAGCGCCGAUGGUAGUGUGGGGCCUCCCCAUGCGAGAGUAGGGAACUGCCAGGC
rnacentral:rRNA from 1 species